rnacentral:rRNA from 1 species
AAUGGAGGAAACUCUGAUGCAGCGAUGCCGCGUGAGUGAAGAAGGCCUUUGGGUUGUAAAGCUCUUUCGUCGGGGAAGAAAAUGACGGUACCCGAAUAAGAAGGUCCGGCUAACUUCGUGCCAGCAGCCGCGGUAAUACGAAGGGACCUAGCGUAGUUCGGAAUUACUGGGCUUAAAGAGUUCGUAGGUGGUUAAAAAAGUUGGUUGUGAAAUCCCGAAGCUUAACUUCGGAACUGCAAUCAAAACUUUUUAGCUAGAGUAUGAUAGAGGAAAGCAGAAUUUCUAGUGUAGAGGUGAGAUUCGUAGAUAUUAGAAAGAAUACCAAUUGCGAAGGCAGCUUUCUGGAUCAUUACUGACGCUGAGGAACGAAAGCAUGGGUAGCGAAGAGGAUU